rnacentral:sRNA from 1 species
GCUGAGCAGGGUGGUGCAUGCCUAUAAUCCCAGCGACUUGGGAGGCUGAGGCAGGAGGAUCGAGAGUUCAAAGCCAGCCUCAGCAAAUUGGCAAGGCACUUAGCAACUCAUUGAGACCCUGUCUCUA